rnacentral:rRNA from 1 species
UACGGGAGGCAGCAGUGGGGAAUAUUGGACAAUGGGCGGAAGCCUGAUCCAGCCAUGCCGCGUGUGUGAAGAAGGCCUUAUGGUUGUAAAGCACUUUAAGCGAGGAGGAGGCUACUUUAGUUAAUACCUAGAGAUAGUGGACGUUACUCGCARAAUAAGCACCGGCUAACUCUGUGCCAGCAGCCGCGGU